GUCAUUUAGAGGAAGUAAAAGUCGUAACAAGGUUUCCGUAGGUGAACCUGCGGAAGGAUCAUUAUCGUAAAACAAGAGGUGCGAGGGCUGUCGCUGACCUUCAAAGGUCGUGCACGUCUGAGCACACUCUAACAUCCACUUCACCCCUUGUGCAUCGCCGCGUAGGUCUCACGGAAAGUGGGGCCUGCGUUUUUCACACAAACCUUGUAGUGUAGAAUGUGUUUUCUUUUUGCGGUGACACGCAAUCAAUACAACUUUCAACAACGGAUCUCUUGGCUCUCGCAUCGAUGAAGAACGCAGCGAAAUGCGAUACGUAAUGUGAAUUGCAGAAUUCAGUGAAUCAUCGAAUCUUUGAACGCAUCUUGCGCCCCUUGGUAUUCCGAGGGGCACACCCGUUUGAGUGUCGUGAAAUUAUCAAAACCCCUUUUAUUUUUAUGGAAGGGAUUUUGGACCUGGAGGAUCAAUGCUUGCUCCCAGCCUUUUGGGAGCGAGCUCCUCUUAAAUAAAUUAGUGGGGUUUGCUUUGCUGAUCCUUGACGUGAUAAGAUAUUUCUACGUUUUGGGUUUGGCAACUUUUCCACCUGCUUCUAACAGUCUUUAUGGACAAUGAUGGUGCUCCGGUCACCACCACCACCUUGUGUGGGGGAUGGGAGGCUGGACCCACAAUGAAAUCUUGACCUCAAAUCGGGUGAGACUACCCGCUGAACUUAAGCAUAUCAAUAAGCCGG
rnacentral:rRNA from 1 species